rfam:Hordeum vulgare subsp. vulgare, WGS project CAJW01000000 data, contig: morex_contig_141252
UAUAUACUCCCUCCGUCCAUAAUUACUUGUCGCACAAAUUGAUAAAAAUGAACGUAUCUAGAACUAAAAUACAUCUAGAUACAUCUAUUUCUAUGACAAGUAUUUUCGGACGAAGGGGUAUCUA